CCUACGGGGUGCAGCAGUGAGGAAUAUUGGUCAAUGGGCGAGAGCCUGAACCAGCCAAGUCGCGUGAAGGCUGACGGCCCUACGGGUUGUAAACUUCUUUUGUCAGGGAGCCAUACGCUCCACGCGUGGGCUUAGCGAGAGUACCUGAAGUAAAAGCAUUGGCUAAAUCCGGGCCAGCAGCCGCGGUAAUACGGAGGAUGCGAGCGUUAUCCGGAUUUGUGGGGUUUAAAGGUGUCGUAGGCGGAAUAUCAAGUCAGCGGUAAAAGUGCGGGGCUCAACCCCGUCGUGCCGUUGAAACUGAUGUUCUUGAGUGGGCGAGAAGUAUGCGGAAUGCGUAGUGUAGCGGUGAAAUGCAUAGAUAUCACGCAGAACUCCGAUUGCGAAGGCAGCAUACCGGCGCCCAACUGACGCUGAAGCACGAAAGCGUGGGUAUCGAACAGGAUUAGAUACCCUUGUAGUC
rnacentral:rRNA from 1 species